UCAGUACUCCCUCCGUUCUAAAUUACUCGUCGCAGAAAUGGAUGUAUCUAGAACUAAAAUACAUCUAGAUACAUCCAUACCCGCAACAAGUAAUUCGGAACGAAGGGAGUAGUCC
rnacentral:pre_miRNA from 1 species